UCGCAUCUCAACGAAAGUUGGACGAUGAAGGCGUGCUGGCGACGAGCCAGCUCCUUUUAAACGCAUCGCAGAGCGGCGGCGCUGGCUUUGGUUUGAUAAUGCGUUAUCUGUGCCUUUGCCAGACGGAGCGUCUCUGUCCGUCUGAUGAUGACCCCAUCGGACUGUCCCUCGUGGGCAUGGAUCGA
rnacentral:misc_RNA from 1 species